rnacentral:rRNA from 1 species
AUUGAACGAUGGCGGCAGGCCUAACACAUGCAAGUAGAGCGGAGCGGCGGACGGGUGAGUAAUGCCUAGGAAUAUGACUGGUAGUGGGGGAUAACGUACGGAAACGGGCGCUAAUACCGCAUAAUAUCAGAUGAGCCUAGGUAGGAUUGGCUAGUUGGGGGGGUAAAGGCCUACCAAGGCGAAGAACCGUAACUGGUCUGAGCGGAUGAUCAGGCACUCUGGAACGUAGACACGGUCCAGACUCCUACGGGAGGCAGCAGUGGGCAAUAUUGGACAAUGGGCGAAAGCCUGAUCCAGCCAUGCCGCGUGUGUGAAGAAGGCCUUCGGAUUGUAAAGCACUUUAAGUUGGGAGGCGUUACCAACAGAAUAAGCACCGGCUAACUUCGUGCCAGCAGCCGCGGUAAUUC